rnacentral:rRNA from 1 species
AUACGGAGGGGGCUAGCGUUGUUCGGAAUUACUGGGCGUAAAGCGUCCGCAGGCGGAUAAUUAAGUUAGAGGUGAAAUCCCAGGGCUCAACCCUGGAACUGCUUUUAAAACUGGUUAUCUAGAGUUAUAGAGAGGUAAGUGGAAUUCCUAGUGUAGAGGUGAAAUUCGUAGAUAUUAGGAGGAACACCAGAGGCGAAGGCGGCUUACUGGACAUAUACUGACGCUGAGGGACGAAAGUGUGGGGAGCGAACGGCAUUAGAAACCCCAGUAGUCC